UAGGGAAUCUUCCACAAUGGACGAAAGUCUGAUGGAGCGACGCCGCGUGAGUGAAGAAGGGUUUCGGCUCGUAAAACUCUGUUGUUAAAGAAGAACAUAUCUGAGAGUAACUGUUCAGGUAUUGACGGUAUUUAACCAGAAAGCCACGGCUAACUACGUGCCAG
rnacentral:rRNA from 1 species